rnacentral:rRNA from 1 species
UACGUAGGGCGCAAGCGUUAUCCGGAAUUAUUGGGCGUAAAGAGCUCGUAGGCGGUUUGUCGCGUCUGCCGGUGAAAGUCCGGGGCUCAACUCCGGAUCUGCGGUGGGUACGGGCAGACUAGAGUGAUGUAGGGGAGACUGGAAUUCCUGGUGUAGCGGUGAAAUGCGCAGAUAUCAGGAGGAACGACCGAUGGCGAAGGCAGGUCUCGUGGGCAUUAACUGACGCUGAGGAGCGAAAGCAUGGGGAGC